rnacentral:rRNA from 1 species
UACGUAGGGCGCAAGCGUUGUCCGGAAUUAUUGGGCGUAAAGAGCUCGUAGGCGGCUUGUCACGUCGGGGUGUGAAAGCCCCGGGGCUUAACCCCGGGUCUGCAUUCGAUACGGGCUAGCUAGAGUGUGGUAGGGGAGAUCGAAUUCCUGGUGUAGCGGUGAAAUGCGCAGAUAUCAGGAGGAACACCGGUGGCGAAGGCGGAUCUCUGGGCCAUUACUGACGCUGAGGAGCGAAAGCGUGGGGAGCGAACAGG